rnacentral:rRNA from 1 species
AGCGUAGGUGGACAGUUAAGUCAGUUGUGAAAGUUUGCGGCUCAACCGUAAAAUUGCAGUUGAUACUGGCUGUCUUGAGUACAGUAGAGGUGGGCGGAAUUCGUGGUGUAGCGGUGAAAUGCUUAGAUAUCACGAAGAACUCCGAUUGCGAAGGCAGCUCACUGGACUGCAACUGACACUGAUACUCGAAAGUGUGGGUAUCAAACA